rnacentral:rRNA from 1 species
GAUGAACGCUGGCGGCGUGCCUAAUACAUGCAAGUCGAGCGCAGCGGGGACGGGUGAGUACCACGUGGAUACACUCCUAUAAGAAUCGGAUAACUUCGGGAAACCGGAGCUAAACCGGAUACUUAUAGAUGGAUCCGCGGUGCAUUCGCUAUUUGGUAAGGUAAUGGCUUACCAAGGCAACGAUGCAUAGCCGACCUGAGAGGAUGAUCAGUCACACUGGGACUGAGACACGGUCCAGACUCCUACGGGAGGCAGCAGUUGGGAAUAUUGGACAAUGGGCGAAAGCCUGAUCCAGCCAUGCCGCGUGUGUGAAGAAGGUCUUCGGAUUGUAAAGCACUUUUGGUUGGGAAGCGUUACCAACAGAAUAAGCACCGGCUAACUACGUGCCAGCAGCCGCGGUAAUUC